rnacentral:rRNA from 1 species
GGGAAACGGGUGGUAAUGCCGGAUGUUCCAGUUGAUCGCAUGGUCUUCUGGGAAAGCUUUCGCGGUAUGGGAUGGGGUCGCGUCCUAUCAGCUUGACGGCGGGGUAACGGCCCACCGUGGCUUCGACGGGUAGCCGGCCUGAGAGGGCGACCGGCCACAUUGGGACUGAGAUACGGCCCAGACUCCUACGGGAGGCAGCAGUGGGGAAUAUUGCACAAUGGGCGCAAGCCUGAUGCAGCGACGCCGCGUGAGGGAUGGAGGCCUUCGGGUUGUAAACCUCUUUUAUCGGGGAGCAAGCGUGAGUGAGUUUACCCGUUGAAUAAGCACCGGCUAACUACGUGCCAGCAGCCGCGGUAAUACGUAGGGUGCAAGCGUUAUCCGGAAUUAUUGGGCGUAAAGGGCUCGUAGGCGGUUCGUCGCGUCCGGUGUGAAAGUCCAUCGCUUAACGGUGGAUCCGCGCCGGGUACGGGCGGGCUUGAGUGCGGUAGGGGAGACUGGAAUUCCCGGUGUAACGGUGGAAUGUGUAGAUAU